UCCAUUUGCCUUUAAUGGUGCCAUUCAAUUUUGAAAUUUUAGGUACCAAAGAGAUGCCAAGUUGCCAACCACGCUUGAAGACUUCCACCAGCUUCUGCUUGUUCCCCCACCCCUUUAAUCAUCAGAUAUCCAAAAUCUAUUGACUUGGUCAAUUUGAAUUUGUGUGCCGACUAAGAGAGAUAAACCGCUAUAGCGAAACAUUAUUCAUUUUCACGACUCAGAGACCUUUGCUUCAAAGUGAAGAUAUCCUAAUGUUCCACUACUGCUCUCAUUGAUCCUCCACUGAUUAUUACAUCCAAGCUACUCUAUCAUAAUUUUUGUUAUUUUAUAUAACUGGAUUUUUUUUAAAAUCAUUUUAAACGGUUUUUGCCUCUUUGAUUAGGUGACAAAAUCAGGGGGUUGAUUGCGCAAAUAAUCAUCUAACUUAUACUCUUAGUUUUAUUUUGCAGUAAAGUCGUUAAAAGCAAAUAUUUUAACGUAAAUAUUUUAACUUAAAAAUCAUUGAACUUCAUCUAAUUUGUUCUGAGAAUGACUUUGGCCUGAAAUCCCACUGGACCAUAUGGCCUUUCAUGUCAGCCCACGUCAUAAUACCUCAGCAUCUCAAGACUUUCCACCUCAUAAAAACAAAAAUAAAAGAUCUAACUUAUAAUAAUCUCCAUGAACAAAAAAAGCUGAGCUGACAAAUGUGGAAAAAGGACCCGAAAAUGAAUUUGGGUUUGGGUUUGGGUUUCUGCCUCUCAUCAAAUCAUUCUCAGCUAAGUGCUUCAACUCGAACCCAAGGGUCCCAUCAUUGAGUUUCUCAGAUAUUACGCUGGAAUUGGACAAUAAGCAAGCUUCACGAUAUCUGUAUAUGUUCAUAGCCUCCGAAUUUCCCAUUUGCUAGAUGCUCCUCCAAAGCUCAAUGUUAACACUUGCUGCCUAAACGACCAAUUCUCGUGGCACUUGCCUAUGGCGUGCAGCGUUACAGGCCCUAAGGAUUUGGUGACACAGCCCCACUUAAACUUGUCACAAUAUCCUCACGUACCAACCAUGUGUUUUUGGCCUCGUUUCGCUUAGAAGGCUCGUCUCUUUUGAUAGUUUCUAAUGUAGAUCCUUUGGUAAAAGCAUGGAGCACCUAUUCAGGUGCGACAUCAAACCAACCAUGUUCUAACUUGCUUACUUCAAGACAUUCUGUCGCCCGGAACCUAUACUCAAGCAGAUAUUCAUCUAAAGGAAAUGUCUCUACUUGGGCAUAUACUCAUCUCAGUUCUCAUGUGGGAACUUCGCUUGGUGAAUGCUCAUUCCAAGCACUAUCACAAUUGUCAAUCUUAUGUUUGAACUUUGAUUUAGGAACCUUCCUAAGGUUCUUUAAUUUUUCUACUAUAAAUCUUUAUUUUUUGCCUGUAUACACCAAUGCUAUAUGGAUGGGGCAAGACUGUUGCAGCAUAGUCAGCAGUAUAUAUCUGAACAAGAAAAAUAAUACGAUGAAAAUUUAUAUGUCGACAUGAGGCAUAUUAACUGA